GUGCCAGCAGCCGCGGUAACACGGAAGCCCCGAGCGUUGUUCGGAUUCAUUGGGCGUAAAGGGUGCGUAGGCGGCGCGGAAAGUCCGGCGUGAAAGGCAGGGGCUCAACCUCUGGACUGCGUUGGAUACUUCCGUGCUUGAGGACUGGAGGGGAGACUGGAAUUCACGGUGUAGCAGUGAAAUGCGUAGAUAUCGUGAGGAAGACCGGUGGCGAAGGCGAGUCUCUGGACAGAUCCUGACGCUGAGGCACGAAGGCUGGGGGAGCGAACAGGAUUAGAUACCCUGGUAGUCCCAGCAGUAAACGAUGUGAGCUUGAUGUGGGGGGAUUCGACCCCUUCCGUGUCGAAGCUAACGCGAUAAGCUCACCGCCUGAGGAGUACGGCCGCAAGGCUAAAACUCAAAGAAAUUGACGGGGACCCGCACAAGCGGUGGAGUAUGUGGCUUAAUUCGAUGCAACGCGAAGAACCUUACCUGGCCUUGACAUGCAUUGUGUCGUCGGUGAAAGCCGGCUAGUCCUGGAAACAGGACGCUUUGCACAGGUGCUGCAUGGCUGUCGUCAGCUCGUGUCGUGAGAUGUUGGGUUAAGUCCCGCAACGAGCGCAACCCUUGUGGUCAGUUACUAACCGGCUUAGCCGGAGGACUCUGGCCAGACUGCCCUGUCAAACGGGGAGGAAGGUGGGGACGACGUCAAGUCAGUAUGGCCCUUAUGGCCAGGGCUGCACACGUACUACAAUGCCCGGUACAAUGUGAACCGAAACCGCGAGGUGGAGGAAAUCGCUCUUGAAAACCGGGCCCAGUUCGGAUUGGAGUCUGCAACUCGACUCCAUGAAGUCGGAAUCGCUAGUAAUGG
rnacentral:rRNA from 1 species